UAUAAAUAUGUGUGAUUUGGAAUACUUGGAUGUGUUAGAAUACUAUUGACAGUGUCCGGGGACCCAACAGAAUGCGUCAUCGACAAAAUCUCUUCAAAUUACCUGACGACAAUUUUCGAUAUAAAUAUCGAUUUACGUUUUUCGAAAUAAUAGUCAAUUGAAUGCAUGAUGAUAAUCCAGGAUGAUCCUAUGAUACUCAACUGGGCUCGCCAUAAAAUUCAAGACUAUCUUGGCGUUUUGCACGCCGUAUCUCUGCCAGUAAUAUGCAAUGUUUGUAAAAGACUGGAAGCUUGCUAAAAUGUACAAAAAUGCCUAGAUGAGAAAGGGAACAAGAUUGUGUGAUGAAGAACAGUGUCCAACAUGUAUCAGUGCAUUUGACUGUAUAAAUAGACAUCGAAAUAAAAUAUAAUUUUCUACUUU
rnacentral:lncRNA from 1 species